CCUCUCGUAGUUUAGUGGUCACAACAUUGGUGCCUAAAGCCAAAGGUCCCGGGUUCGAUUCCCGGCGGGCGUG
rfam:Agrilus planipennis Contig55141, whole genome shotgun sequence.